rnacentral:tRNA from 1 species
GCGAGCGUAGUUCAAUGGUAGAACAAUAGCCUUCCAAGCUAUAUAUGUCGGUUCGAUUCCGAUCGCUCGCUCCA